rnacentral:rRNA from 1 species
UAAUACGUAGGAGGCGAGCGUUAUCCGGAUUUACUGGGCGUAAAGAGGGCGUAGGCGGCUUUUCAAGUCGGGUGUGAAAUCUCCCCGCUUAACGGGGAGGGGUCAUCCGAUACUGUUAAGCUAGAGGGCAGCAGAGGGAGGUGGAAUUCCCGGUGGAGUGGUGAAAUGCGUAGAUAUCGGGAGGAACACCAGUGGCGAAGGCGGCCUUCUGGGCUGUUUCUGACGUUGAGGCCCGAAAGCGUGGGGAGCGAACAGGAUUAGAUACCCUGGUAGUCCACGCUGUUAACGAUGGAUACUAGGUAUAGGGAGUAUCGACCCUCUCUGUGCCGAAGCUAACGCGUUAAGUAUCCCGCCUGGGGACUACGGCCGCAAGGCUA